GCCAUAACUGUUAUAACCUGUGGGUUCAGAUGUUCUUUCUUUUCGCAACCCUGACAUGAAACAAUGAAAAUAAAACUUUAAAACACAAUGGUCCGAGUAGUGGUCAACACGUGGGUGCUCAACGUCCACAUGUUGGUAAAUAUAGAUAGAUCUACGUGGUACAUUUACUUCAGGUAAACCAAAACUACAAUUGUAAUUUCAAGCUUUCAAAGGUAACAGACACGUGGAACUAAGAACUGAAUGAACCAGCUGGUAAAUUUUGUCCAUCGUGGUCCACCAUAAGAAAAAGUGAUGUUGUAAAUUUGGUAACAUCUUUUUUCUUAUGAUAAAUCACGGCAUGGCUUCAAGAUAUUACAUGUUAUUGUUUUUACGCACAAGUCUACGAUCAGAGUUUACCCACUUUGGUCUAUCAUAAGAAAAAGCGAUGUUGUAACUAUGAUAACAUCCUUUUUCUUAUGAUAAAUCACGGCAUGGCUUCAACAGAAAAAUUCAAGAGAAGAAAUUACAAAACUGACUGCAAUUUUGUUCCUUGUUGACAAUUUUCAAUAAAAUCUUGUU